rnacentral:misc_RNA from 1 species
GAAUGUGAGUUAUGUGGCGGUACUGCUGGUGCUUUUAGAAAGUCAAAUGAUGGUCAAUGGGUUCACGCCUUCUGUGCUGAAUGGGCCUUUGAAUCAACAUUCAGAAGAGGACAAGUACAUCCAAUUGAGGGUCUGGCAACUGUCCCCAAGGGUAAUGAUGUCUGCUUUGUUUGCCAGCGGAGAAAAGGUGUAUGCACUAAGUGUAGUUAUGGUCACUGUCAUAGCACAUUCCAUCCCUCUUGUGCUAGAAGUGCUGGCUUGUUUUUAAGCAUGAGAACUAAUGGUGGCAAGCUGCAGCACAAAGCUUAUUGCGACAAACAUAGUUUGGAACAAAGACUUAAGUCCGAGACUCAGAGACAUGGGGUGGAAGAAUUGAAGAGUCUGAAGCAAGUCAGGGUCGAAUUGGAGCGAUUACGGCUGUUAUGCGAAAGAAUUGUCAAGCGAGAGAAGCUGAAGCGUGAAGUAAUCCUUUGCUCACAUGAUAUUCUGGCUUCUAGUAGAGACAAUGCUGUUUUAUCUGCUCUGACCCGACACCCUUACUUCCAACCUGAUGUUAGUUCAGAUUCAGCUACUACAACUUCCAUUAAAGGCUACACUGAUGGCUAUAAAUCAGGCAGUGAAACAAUACAAAGAUCCGAUGACAUAACGGUAGACAGUGCUGUAGCAGGAAAACGGCGCAUUAAGUUUCCCGUGUCUAUGGACAAUGAUCAGAAGACUGAUGAUAGUUCUACAUCACCCAACCCCGUCACACAAAAAACUGCACGAGCGUCAUUUUCUGGGAAGCAAAUCCCAUAUAGAGCUUCUUCGAAUUCUACAGAUCACGGGGACAUGCGAUUGAGAUACAGAAAGCAUAUGGAAACUUUUGAGAAAGAGCUGGUAAUGACUUCAGAUCAAGCCUCCGUGAAGAACCAGCGAUUACCUAAAGGGUAUGUGUAUGUCCCAAUCCGGUGUCUUCCUAAGGAGGAGGAAGCUGCUCCAGACGAGUGUUCUGGAGAACCACUGGAUCCUGAUGGAUAGGUUUAGGCAGAGUAAUUGUAGGAUUUCGGUACCUGUGUCUGGCAAGUUGCUGCUGGUACACCAUUUUUAUCUGAACCAUCGGGAAGGAUGCCCUAUUUAAAGACGAGAUGAUGACAACAAGCGCCCUUCCAGGAGAGCCAUCGAGAUUAGGUUUGAUUGUUGUAUAUUCAGAGCUUACUGUACAGUGGAUCUUCAAGUGGUUUGAAUGGCUCUGCCACAGUGGUUGUUUAUUGUGAGUUGAUUGGUGGCAAUAGCUCUGCUUCUUGUAAUUGUAUACAGUAGUUAGAAGAUCUCCCCUACUACUCAAGCUUUGUAAAGUUGUUGU